rnacentral:ncRNA from 2 species
CUAUUAGGUAGAGGUGCGAUAAUUAAGAGUACCAAAGGGGAGUUAAGCGCUGUGAAACUUUGGAAAAGGAUUUGUCGCCGAAAUAUAUAUCUUAUGCUUUAAGGAUGUAUAUUGGUGUUGCAUAUAAUAUGUGUAAGACUGUCACAAUUCUGUGGAGGGCUAUUAUUAAU